AACGCACCUUGCGCUCUCUGGUAUUCCGGAGAGCACGCCUGUUCGAGUGUCAUGAAACUCUCAAGCAGAAUUUAACUUUGUUGUUUAGUUCUUGCUUGGAUUUGGACUCUUGCCGCGUUACUGCGGCUGGUCUUAAAAGUAUUAGCUGGUCUGUAAGAAACCUUGGGUUUGACUUGGCGUGAUAAAUAUUCGCCGAGGACACUUUGGUGGCCUAAUUUCUUACUGGAUUGCUUCUAAUCGUCUUUACCGACAACUUAUAUUUCAAAUCUGACCUCGAAUCAGGUGGGACUACCCGCUGAACUUAA
rnacentral:misc_RNA from 1 species